AGGACAAAUGUUAGAGAAAGUCAAAAGAAAAGAAAUCAAGAUGCUGAAGCAAUAAAUGGUAUAAAUGAAAGAAACAGGGGAAUUGAUGAAACUCUAGAAAGGACAAAUGUUAGAGAAAGUCAAAAGAAAAGAAAUCAAGAUGGUGAAGCAAU